rnacentral:siRNA from 1 species
AACUUACGAGAUGUGCCACGUGUC